AUUGAACGCUGGCGGCAUGCUUUACACAUGCAAGUCGAACGGCAGCACAGGGAGUUUGCUCCUGGGUGGCGAGUGGCGAACGGGUGAGUAAUGUAUCGGAACGUGCCUGGUAGUGGGGGAUAACUACUCGAAAGAGUGGCUAAUACCGCAUGAGAUCUUUGGAUGAAAGCGGGGGACCUUCGGGCCUCGUGCUACUGGAGCGGCCGAUAUCAGAUUAGGUUGUUGGUGGGGUAAAGGCCUACCAAGCCUGCGAUCUGUAGCUGGUCUGAGAGGACGGCCAGCCACACUGGGACUGAGACACGGCCCAGACUCCUACGGGAGGCAGCAGUGGGGAAUUUUGGACAAUGGGCGCAAGCCUGAUCCAGCAAUGCCGCGUGCAGGACGAAGGCCUUCGGGUUGUAAACUGCUUUUGUACAGAACGAAAAGUCUCUGGCUAAUAUCUAGAGAUCAUGACGGUACUGUAAGAAUAAGCACCGGCUAACUACGUG
rnacentral:rRNA from 1 species